CUCAAAGGCACACAGUUCUUCCUUCAGGCGAGGAAGGCAUUUUGGAGGCCUGGAUCUUGAGACAUACCAGCUAGUACCCACGACACUGCUGAUGAGCAUAUACAUGUGACACCCGAGUCUUUAAACCACUGCUGCUGUUCCGCGAUCCUUGGGUCACCGCAAUGCCCAGGGAAGACCAAGCCAUGUGGAAGUCCAACUACUUCCUCAAGAUCAUUCAACGAUCUCUCUGUCUGGGCUUCGGAGAUGAGAGAAGGAGAAAAGAUGGCCACAACGCCUCGCUGCCAGUUAAGGUCAGCUAGUCGGAGGCGAUCCAUCUCACUCGGUCAGGGAACCAGCCACGGAGAAGACCUCGUUGGGCUCGUUUUCCCGCUGCAAAGGGAGAAGAGAAAGCGCAGCGACUCCGGAUUCUAUUCAAGUUUUUAGAACAGCCCGCUUUAAGCCCCUCCGGCUCCUCACUCACAAGAUCGGAACCCGACCCAGCCCCUCAGUCACCGAAGUCUUCGAUCUGCUUUCUCCGAAUCUUUCGAGAGGACUUCAAAGAAUCACAGCCGAACUAGCCCUCCUCUCACCAGGGCCGCCAUUUAGCAAUCCGGAGGGCCCGUGCCCCCAGGUCCUCUUUCUAGUCACCUCAGCAGCAUCAGGUUUCAAAACGCCUGAAGUCUUCUGCUGAGUCAGAUGAUCCUAGCUCCAUCUAGCUCAGCCACUGACUGGCAGCUGCUGGCCAGGGAGUCCGACAGAGAUCUGUCCCAGCCCUAUUGGGAGAUGCCAACGUCCUUCUGCCCUCAGACCAGUGAG